UACGGGGGGGGCAAGCGUUGUUCGGAAUUACUGGGCGUAAAGGGCUCGUAGGUGGCCAACUAAGUCAGACGUGAAAUCCCUCGGCUUAACCGGGGAACUGCGUCUGAUACUGGAUGGCUUGAGUUUGGGAGAGGGACGCGGAAUUCCAGGUGUAGCGGUGAAAUGCGUAGAUAUCAAGAGGAACACCUGAGGUGAAGACGGGUUGCUGGGCCGACACUGACGCUGACAGCGCGAAAGCCAGGGGAGCAAACGGG
rnacentral:rRNA from 1 species